UAUGUAGCAAUACAUAUGGGUGGCGAGUGGCGGACGGGUGAGUAACGCGUGGGAAUCUGCCCAAUAGUGGGGGACAACCCGACGAAAGUCGGGCUAAUACCGCAUACGCCCUACGGGGGAAAGGCUUCGGCCGCUAUUGGAUGAGCCCGCGUCCGAUUAGCUAGUUGGUGAGGUAAUGGCUCACCAAGGCGACGAUCGGUAGCUGGUCUGAGAGGACGAUCAGCCACACUGGGACUGAGACACGGCCCAGACUCCUACGGGAGGCAGCAGUGGGGAAUAUUGCACAAUGGGCGAAAGCCUGAUGCAGCAAUGCCGCGUGUGUGAAGAAGGCCUGCGGGUUGUAAAGCACUUUCGGUAGGGAAGAUAAUGACGGUACCUACAGAAGAAGCACCGGCUAACUCCGUGCCAGC
rnacentral:rRNA from 1 species